AAGAUUCAGUGUAAUUGGUCCCAAGAAAAGCCAUACUAUCGAGCUUGGAUAUCACUGGAACCAUUUUAUUAAUAGAUUUCUUGGUCAUUUUCCAAUAAAUGUCCCAAAAGAAUAGGCAGAGGCAAUAAUGCAGUAAGAAGAAAGACCACAGAAAUAAUUCAAGCCAAAAAAAUGACUCAAGUUCUCAUGGCCCAAAACCAGCCCAAUAAAUC
rnacentral:lncRNA from 1 species